rnacentral:rRNA from 1 species
AGUGAACGCUGGCGGUAGGCCUAACACACGCAAGUCGAACGGCAGCACAGUAAGAGCUUGCUCUUACGGGUGGCGAGUGGCGGACGGGUGAGGAGUACAUCGGAAUCUACUUUUUCGUGGGGGAUAACGUAGGGAAACUUACGCUAAUACCGCAUACGACCUACGGGUGAAAGCAGGGGAUCUUCGGACCUUGCGCGAUUGAAUGAGCCGAUGUCGGAUUAGCUAGUUGGCGGGGUAAAGGCCCACCAAGGCGACGAUCCGUAGCUGGUCUGAGAGGAUGAUCAGCCACACUGGAACUGAGACACGGUCCAGACUCCUACGGGAGGCAGCAGUGGGGAAUAUUGGACAAUGGGCGCAAGCCUGAUCCAGCCAUACCGCGUGGGUGAAGAAGGCCUUCGGGUUGUAAAGCCCUUUUGUUGGGAAAGAAAAGCAGCAGGUUAAUACCCCGCUGUUCUGACGGUACCCAAAGAAUAAGCACCGGCUAACUUCGUG